UGACGAGUUAAUGAGUAUACUGCCAGCUAGGUCCAAAUCACAGACACACCAGAGCACAGGGCCCUUUUGAUAAAUUUUCUUUAACCCAACGCAUCUAGCACCCUGGCCAACCAUCCCAUAGGUGCUCAUGCUGACUGGGUUGCCAAGGUUACAGGAGCUGAUAUCAUAAUUGGUGUCUGAGCUCUGCCCCCCUAAAUGGCCAUGAGGAGCCACUUCAAUUCAGACUAGGCCACGAAGCUCCUUAGUGAGGAGCUGCCAUGCUGGGCCAUCCACCAUCUGGAUUCCUACGACUCAGGGAAUAGAACACUGCACCUUCCAGAAGCACUUGUUUCUUCGUGGGUACACCACCAGCUGAGAAAGAAGCCUCAUGAUGAUUGUUGUCUUAUGGAUGCUUCUCAUUGCAGGAACCAUGUGGAAGGGAUAUAAAUAUCCCCCAGGAGGGACUCCAGUGGAAGUAAGCAAGGAUGAUCCUGGUGAAGUAAUGCAGCUGUGAAGCUCACCUGACCAGCUGUACAGUUCCUGUUGUUGGUUUCGCAUAAAGUAAUUGCACA
rnacentral:lncRNA from 1 species